GUGAGGUAACGGCUCACCAAGGCAUCGACGGGUAGCUGGUCUGAGAGGACGAUCAGCCACACUGGGACUGAGACACGGCCCAGACUCCUACGGGAGGCAGCAGUAGGGAAUCUUGCACAAUGGGCGAAAGCCUGAUGCAGCGACGCCGCGUGGGGGAUGAAGGCCUUCGGGUUGUAAACCCCUUUCAGUAGGGACGAAAAUGACGGUACCUACAGAAGAAGCUCCGGCCAACUACGUGCCUGCAGCCGCGGUAACACGUAGGGAGCAAGCGUUGUCCGGAUUUAUUGGGCGUAAAGAGCUCGUAGGUGGUUCCGUAAGUCGGAUGUGAAAACUCAAGGCUCAACCUUGAGACGCCAUCCGAUACUGCGGUGACUUGAGUUCGGUAGAGGAGUGUGGAAUUCCUGGUGUAGCGGUGAAAUGCGCAGAUAUCAGGAGGAACACCAACAGCGAAGGCAGCACUCUGGGCCGAUACUGACACUGAGGAGCGAAAGCAUGGGGAGCAAACAGGAUUAGAUACCCUGGUAGUCCAUGCCGUAAACGUUGGGCACUAGGUGUGGGGAUUUAUCAACGAUCUCCGCGCCGUCGCUAACGCAUUAAGUG
rnacentral:rRNA from 1 species